rnacentral:rRNA from 1 species
GACGAACCGUGCGAACGUUGUUCGGAAUCACUGGGCUUAAAGGGCGCGUAGGCGGGCUGCCAAGUCUGGGGUGAAAUCCCGCGGCUCAACCGUGGAACUGCCUUAGAUACUGGUGGCCUCGAGGGAGGUAGGGGCGAGCGGAACUGUGAGUGGAGCGGUGAAAUGCGUUGAUAUUCACAGGAACUCCGGUGGCGAAGGCGGCUCGCUGGCCCUCUUCUGACGCUGAGGCGCGAAAGCUAGGGGAGCAAACGG